rnacentral:lncRNA from 1 species
UAUGAACAGUGUUACAAAAAAAAUAUAAAAACUAAUCCCACUGUUCAUCUUCUUCCUCCCUCCUUGCAUCAGGGCCGUCCACCUUCCUCCCGUCAAUCCCGCGUCGAUCCGCCGCCCGUGCCAACCCCAGCCCAUUCCAAGCUCCAUCGCGAUGAGGCCAUCAACAGCCCGCACGCGGUGAACGCCGGUAAUCCAGCCAUCCCUCCGCCUCUUCAUNN